AGCCAUGCAUGUCUAGUUCAUAUCGAAAUAAAGAUGAAACUGCGAAGGGUCAGUAAAUCAGUUAUCGUCCGCUCGAUCAUUUAAACCAUGGAUAACUGUGGUAAAUCUAGAGCUAAUACAUGCAAAUCCAGUGGUGGCAACAUUGCUGGAGCAUUUAUUGGACAUACCAACAGGGGCGCAAGUCCCUGCAGGUGAAUCUAGAUAACUGUGCAUAUCGUAUGACUCGCGUCGGCGAUAGUUCGAUCGAAUUUCUGCCCUAUCAACUAGUUGGUUGGGUAGUGGCCAACCAAGGUUGUGACGGGUAACGGUGAAUCAGGGUUCGAUUCCGGAGAGGACGUAGACCGUAUGCCUACCUCAUCUAAGGAAGGCAGCAGGCGCGCAAAUUACCCAAUCCAGACAUUGGGAGGUAGUGACGAGAAAUACCAAAGUGUGCCUUUUGGUUCACUAUUGGAAUGAACGUAACACAGUACCUUCGAUGAGUACCAACUGGAGGGCAAGUCUGGUGCCAGCAGCCGCGGUAAUUCCAGCUCCAGUAGUGUAUAUCAAAAUUGUUGCGGUUAAAACGCUCGUAGUUGGAUUACAAAAGUCGGGCGUCAGCUUAGUACUUACUUGGUUGCCGUCGUGCUUUUUUAUCGCAAUAACUCACUCGUGCAUUUCAACCACUGUGCGGUUUACCGCUUGUCUGAGUGUCGCCUUGAACGUACAAUCAGAGUGCUCAUAGUGUAUGCUGUAACGCUCGACAGUUGGGUUUAAGUUCAUCGUCGACCAGCAUGUGUCACCUGACCGCCGGUUACGGUUGUUGGUUAUCGUGAUUGCCGGGUCAUUGAUUAAGAGGGAGCAUUUGGGGGCGUUGGUAUUUGGCGGCGAGAGGUGAAAUAUCUAUGGACCUGCUCAAGGGCUCACUAAUGCGAAAGCAUUCUGCCAAGAGUGUUUUCAUUGAUCAAGAACGAAAGUUAGAGGUUCGAAGACGAUCAGAUACCGUCCUAGUUCUAUACAGUAAACUAUGCCACCACGGGAUCAGUCCGGGGAACUGCAUCCAGGUUGGUCCCUCAAGGAAACUCCAAGAUUUCGGGUUCCUGGGGGAGUACGGUCGCAAGUCUGAAACUUAAAGGAAUUGACGGAAGGGCACCACCAGGAGUGGAGCCUGCGGCUUAAUUUGACUCAACACGGGACAACUCACCAGGUCCAGACAUUGAAAGGAUUGACAGACUGAUAGAUCUUUCAAGAUCCAAUGAUUGGUGGUGCAUGGCCGUUCUUAGUUGGUGGAGCGAUCUGUCAGGUCUAUUCCGGUAACGAGCGAGACCACGAUCUCUAGUUGAUUACGGCUUCUUUGGAGUGGCUGAUCCUAGAGAGACAACCGGAAUACAAGCCGGAGCAUUUAUUGGACAUAGCCAACAGGGGGGCGGAAACGCAACCUUGAAGGUGAAUCUAGAUAACUGUGCAUAUCGUAUGGUCUUGUACCGGCGAUAGUUCGAUCGAAUUUCUGCCCUAUCAACUAGUUGGUUGGGUAGUGGCCAACCAAGGUUGUGACGGGUAAGGUUCACUAUUGGAAUGAACGUAACAUAGUACCUUCGAUGAGUACCUACUGGAGGGCAAGUCUGGUGCCAGCAGCCGCGGUAAUUCCAGCUCCAGUAGUGUAUAUCAAAAUUGUUGCGGUUAAAACGCUCGUAGUUGGAUUACAAAAGUUUGGCGCUAGUCAAGCAAGCACAAU
rnacentral:rRNA from 1 species